rnacentral:pre_miRNA from 1 species
ACUUAUGGGUGAGCGAAGAAAGUAGUUUCUUGAGAUGGACCCUACUCCUGCUGAAGACGCUGUGAA